CAAGCAUCUAUCCAAAAUUCAAGCACUUUUCAAACUUUGAAAACACAACAUCAAAAUUCAAGCAUUUUCAAGGAUUUCAAGCACCCGUACGAACCCUGCUGCUAACAAUCAACA